UAACCAUACUACUGAUAUUAUCCUGCUAAAAGAAAAUCUGUGUUGAUCAUUUUUUUCCCUUUAUGGGAGUAAACUCAUGACAGAUUGACACGAAAAAAA
rnacentral:snoRNA from 1 species